rnacentral:lncRNA from 1 species
GCAAUCACAGCAAUCGUCACUUGGUGGAGCCAGAUUACUCUGCAUGUGAAUGUGCUUUACAAAUAGUUUUCAGAAAAGCUAUCAAAGACAGGAUUUAUAAAUAUUACUUUGGAGGAAGAUUAAAAACAAAUUGUGGGAUUUUAAUACAUCCUUUUAGGAAUUAGGAGCUUUACAUCUUUGCUUUUAAUUACUCUAGCACAGAAGAAGUAUCAGACUUGCUGGGCAAAGCAGAGGCUAUCUCUAUUUGCUGGAAUAAAAUAGGAAUACAGUGUUGGUAUAUUUGAUAAUGUACAUGCAAACCUGCAAGGAUGAAGCCAUAGCUUUCAAUUUUGCUCCCAUGUGUGUUUUUAGAACUACAUCUGCUUCUGUGACCUGUUGAGUCAGCUGACAGUGAGAUUUUCAAGCCUUCAAGAUACUGGCAAUCCUGGCACAGAGUGUUCUUAUAAAUUCUUCUAUCCUAGUAUAAAAAGAAAAUUACAACUAGUAAAAGUCAAGCAAGUAAAACCGUGGGAGUUUUAUCUCUGGAGAGAACUCAGUGGUGCAACUCUACCUUGAAACAGUUCAGUUGCCAGUACCUCAAAUGGUGAAAGGUAUCUUGGUUUAUCUGUGCUUAAUAUCUGCUCCAGUUAUAGAGUUUCACAGAGAUGUGUUGCUUUUC